rnacentral:lncRNA from 1 species
UCAUUGCUGUGGGACCCAGGAGAUGCUGGAAUUUCUUGGCCCUCUGUUGGACCCAAGCGCUGGCUUCUGCUUUCUGCCAGAACAAAACUUCUACUUCCCACCACUCUGCAGAGUCCCCAAGGCCGCCCUGGGCCAGAUGCUCCCCCAGAUGGUGAGCACAGGUGGACGGGGGCCACACCUGGCCAUGAGCUUCCAAUCAAGGACUGGGGACCAAGACAGGGGCCACGCAGCCGGGAGGCUCCAUCGCUCUGGAAGUCAUGGCAGGAGGGACAGUUGGUUAGAAGAACUUGAACUGGAAGCAAGCGAGACUGCAGGGGCAGCAAGGAGGGCUGCAGAGCUGCCAAGAGGAACAUACAAUCCCAGUAUCUUCCCUGCAGCAUUCAGGGAGCUCAGAACAAAUUAGGUGGUGUCGUAUAAUGUCAUCCACGGAUCUCGGGGCCCUCCAGCUUCUGUCAGUGUUUGGGGGACUGGGGUGAUUUGCCAAUUGCGUGCUACAGUAGAAUGAAGAGGAAAUGGAAUUGCUAACAGCACUGAACAUUUUCUCCCAAGCCCUGACUUUGUCCUAUCUCCUGGGUAGCUGCCAUUUGCACAGACACUGAUACAGGCCCGCAUGAACACUUCGUCACUGUCAGACCCACCUCUCAUCUACCACAACAGUUUGGACUUUGGUCAUAUGCUGGAUUUUCCCAAUUUUCAUCCAUUUGUUGGUGCAAAAAGUCCUUCAUUGUCUGGCUCACUCUGUUCACCUGCUGAUGUGGGCUCCUGUCAGAGGGAUCUCCUCCCACCCUCCACAAUACAGCUGGUGCUUGAAUAACAGAAAAGACAAACCAGGCGCUCCAUGAGAUGCUCCAAGCCUGCAGAGGAACUCUGCGUGCCUGGGGAAAAGGCUCUUUGUGAAGAAAUUGAUAAUUUUCUCCCAGACUGCUGGUGCCCGAAUCAGGAAGCGCUGCAGGAAGGCACAGAUCGGUUCCCUCUGGCUUUGCACGUACCAAGGGGGAUGGUGAUGUCCCUGGGUCCCUGUGGACAGCAAGAGGUUCCCCUAAGGUGAUAGAGUCACCUUGGAGAGGGUGCCAUUUAAGAAGAAAAUACCCAUCUAGAAGACAGUGAGGAUCUCAGGGCUCAGGGGUCCUCUGUGACCUGUGGCCUUCCUGAGGCUGUUCGAGCCCCAAACUCUUCCAGGCUGGCAAGCACCGCUCAGGACAGGGAUGCGCAUCUGGACACACCUAGCCCAGGGCCCAGAGGUGUCCCAACUCUUCCGGCUCCAGCCUUCCGGUAUGCUGACCUCCAGCCCAGCUGGCCCAGCUCCACCCAACAGUUCAGCCCCUGCCUGCGAGACCUUUCUCCUGAGACCUGUGUGUGUGUGUGUGUGUGUGUGUGUGUGUGUGUGUGUGCGCGCGUGCGUGCGCACUGUCUGGGCCUCUGUUCCAUCGCCUAUCCUGGCCUCUCACCAGGGUCUGAAGAGGCAUGCGCAUGUACAGCGUUUUCAAAUAAUCUGAUUUUUAAAAAAAAAUAAUAAAACUGUUUUUUUAUUGCUGUUCCCAGCCCACCUAGCGCCAGCUGCGAUGAGAAUCACUUGUAUGGUAAAGUGCUAUUGAUGAAAUUGCUCC